UACAAUGAAAGGCAAAGAUGCCCAAAUGUUAUCGGGCAUAUUAGGGUAAUUGAAAAUCCUAAUAAUUUAUUUCAUUUUCUUUGUUGAUUGUUUUGUGCUCUUUUUGAGCGUUGCCACAAGGGUUUCUAAAGGAGAUUCUGGAAAUUUCGUUUGCAGACCUUGCACAAUCGGGUCGAAUCUGGUGAUUUUUUCCUACUGAGUAUGCCCAUCAUUCUCUGUUAUCCUUUGUGAUCAGUGAUGGCUCUACGAUCUUGUACAAAAGACUUGUAUUCCUAGAUGGGAAGGCAAACUGGAAAUGAAGAUGCAACAUUCAAAUGUGGGAUUUGUCAUUCCAAGCAAUGAAGGAUCCCUUCUCUCUUCUUAUCCUUCAUUCUCAUAUUCAUUGUUUUAUUUUAUAAAGAAUUUCUUCAGUUAUUCACAUGGAUUGUGUGGGACAUUUUAUCAUUAAUGAAUAAAGAAAGCAGUUUUUCUUUUAAA